UUCUAUAGUUCUAUAGCCUGUAAUAGAAUUCAGUGCUUUCUAAAAAUAGAUGCUUAGCUAAUGUGGGAUUCCUGAUUAGAUACACACAGCGGUUUCAUCCUUGCUUUUUAGAUUGCUUAGCAAUCUAAUAAUUAACUUAUCCAAUAUUUGAAAUUUUACAAUGAGCAAGGCACGGCCCUUGUGAGGAUGGCUCUGAAUGUGGCCUGACACAAAAUCAUAGAUUUACUUAAAAUGGUAUGAGAUUUUUUUUUGUGAUUUUGUGUCACAAUGUAUUUAAUGUGUGGUCCAAGACAGCUCUUAUUGCAGUGUGGUGCAGAGACACCCAACGUUUGGACAGCCUUGCAAGGUUCCUAGAUACCUUCCUGUAACUCGUGUCUUGUAGGGUUUCGAUAUUUCUUUAAUUUUCCAAAUUUAUUUAAUAUAUUUACUAUGUAUUUUCAAGGUUUAUAUCUUAUGGCCUAUUUUUUGUUGGUUCUGACCAAUGAUCAUUCAUACAUUUAUUUAAACCCCUAUUGAACCUAAUUGUACUUUUAGCCAUGUAUUUGUAAUGACAAGUUCAUAGGUGUCUGUUCAUUAAAGAAAAUACAAUAGUAACUUUUCAAGGGGUCUUAAAACAAUCGUCUACAAACUUUGAGGCUUGCAGUUUUUAAUUCUAAUAUUUUGGGAUUUAAUAAUCACCCCACCUGUUCAUGGCCUUCAAGUCUUAGGAUAAAUGCUAUCCCAUUUUACUUUUGUCCUUUAAACAGAAAUAGUCUUGUCUUUUUUAUCUGUUUUUAUAAAAAUAUACUCUUGAUUGAUUUAGCUGUUUCUAAAGGGGCCUUGACCAAGUCUGUUAUUUCCUUUUUGGUUUACUAGAUAUUUGAUAGUUAUUUCACUCAAUUAUCUAGGUCAUGGCUGAAAAUACUUAAACUAACACUGGACCUCGAGCUAGUUUCUAAGCAUGUUAUUUCCCUUUGGAUAGUUCUUAUCCAUUGAUGAAAUUUUAAAAUGCAAUUUUAACCAGUUUGUAACCAUUUAAUAAAUAUGUGUUAUAUGAAACCUAAAAGACUUUCUAAAAUUUCUCUUUUGUUCUUGAUUAGGUUAUUUAAAAAGGGUGUCACUUGGUAUCCUAUUUUUUGUAAUAUGGUGUAUGCUUACUCUUUACUUUUCUAGAGGUGAAAAUUAGAUUAGUGGGCAUAUAAAUUUCAGAAUCACUGAAUCUAAUGUCCUGCCACCUUCAACAUUCUGUGCCCCGAUGGAAUUUUUUUUAAUUAGGCACAUUUCCAAUUUUAUUUGUUUUUAUGAAUUCUUUUGAAUGAAAACUAUUGACUCAGUUCUUUUAGUAUCACAGAAUGCCUUUCAUUGAACUUUUAGAUUUAAAAAAGAUCAGUUAAGUCAUCUUUAAUUAGGGCCUUUCUUGUUUGUACUUGAUUUUCAAUCCAAUUAUUAUAUUUCUUGUUUGUUUUUUAAGUUUGGUUUUGGAAAAGAAAAUUAUCUUUGUCUUUAGGGUGUGCAAGUUUUUGUGUAAGUUAUGGUUUUCUCUUUUUCUAACUACUGUUUCCUUUUAAACAACUACUGCUAAAUUUGAGAUGUUAUAUAAAUUAAUGGUUUCUCAAAGUUAAUAGCUUAGUGCAAGUUUAACUUUAAUAACAUCAGAAGUAUAAAUGCUACAGACUUAGGAAAACAUCAUUUGGAAGUUUAAUUAUUUAAAUUUCUUUUAUGCUUAUAUUUUUAUAAAUUUUGAAUAACAAAAUUUUAAUUUCAGUUUUUAAAUUUUAUUCCUUUUGAUGGAUGAUGGCAGGCAUUAAAGAAAAAGUUAACUGUGCUCUUGGUUAGCUGAAUCAAGUUCAUGUUGACAGUAAGAAGAAAAUUCACUUUCUAUUAUAAGAAGGAGCUUCCCCAUAGAGAGUUAAUUAACUACUGGAUGGAAAAGUCAAGGACUCAGGGCUUAGUUUACAACAAGCCUGGAUCCUGGGAGAUGCCAGCAAGGCAGAGACUGUGGCUGAAAUUGAAUCGGUGUUGGCAGGAAGUCUCAAAAACAUGCACUACACAUCUGCUGAAUCAAAUAUUCCAGAAACCACAGACUACAGAAUUCUAACAGUGAAACUCCAAAGCAUGCCUACAUGUUUAAAUGUUACAGGAUGAUUACCAUGCUAAGUUAGGUUUCUGUCAACUAAUGAAGUGAAAAAUUAAAAAUUCUAAUUAUACUCUUGAUGAGUUAACCUUUUCUGAAGAAACACCUUUCCCCUUUGUGGCAAUAUUGUCUCUCGCACGUUAUUUGUCGUGUUUGAUGUACAGAAAAGCCUUCAAAAGUCUGGCAACCUGAGAAUCUUCAGAAGUUAACAUUUGGUUUGCUGUUAGGAAGUCUUGCAUUAUUGGCCCUCCCUCUUUUAUUGAGAAAUAAUUCACAUAUAAAAUUCACCCUUUUAAGUAUACAGUUCAGUGGUUUUUAGUAUACUCCUACAGUUUGCAGUCAUCACCACUAUCUAAGUCAGAACAUUUUCACCACCCCAAAAUGACCCCCAUUUUCCCCUUGUUCUAGCCCCUGGCACCUGAUCUUCUGUUUGUCUCUAUGGGUUUGUGUAGUCUUUAUGGUUCAAAUAAAUGGAAUUAUACAGUAUGUAGCCCUUUGUGUCUUUGACCUUUUCUUUUUAAAGAAUCUACAAAUAGUGAUGAAUCUUAUUUAGCAGUACUUUAGAAUUCAUUUCCACACUGCAGUGAUUAUUCUAUUAAAUACUACCCCUUUUCAACAAGAAAGAACACCUGUCAUUAUGAAUUGCAUGUGUGACCGUUUCUGCCUGGAUUUCUCAGACUAGUGGAUCAGUAGAGGAGGGUUACUUACUUGCCCUCCUCCAUCACCUGUUCUGUCUGUAUUAGACUUUUCUCUAAGGUCAUUGAAAACCAGUGUAUACAUAUCAAAACCUUUUUCUUUGGGUGAUCAUAAGACUAGAGUUACAAAUGUAAUUUUGAGUCACUGCACCUACAGUGGGCUAUAUAUGUGUAUGUACAUGUGUGUAAGUGUGUAUAUACCUACAUAUAUUUCCUAACUCUGACCCCUAAGAGGGCCUGAAAGCAAUUACAAUCUUGAAACAAUGAGUAUACUAGUUCUCAGAUCUUAGUUUCUUAAUAUCAUUCUCUAUGCUCUUUAGAGAAAUGGCUUGUUGUGCCAGAAAUCAAUGAAGUGUUGAAAGAAUGAUAAAACCAUGUUAAAAGCACACAGACACCAGCUUGAAGGAGCUCUACCAGCCAAAUCAGUGACAUGUUGAACAUCCAAACAAAUGAUGGAUUGAGCUCAUUGAAUAAAUUGAAAUGCAUGAGUACAUACUGAAGUAAAUAAAUGAAUAAAUAAAUGAGGUUAAAUGGAAUGUUCUACCUUACAGUAGAAUACCCACUAAUAAUCUAGAUAAAUGUUGGAAUUUGAAAAUCACCUUUGGUGAUGGUCAUAGUAAUAAUUGAUUUAGGCAAAAUCAUCAGUGAAUGCUAUAACUAAUGAGUGAAAGUUUGAUGAGAAGUAGGACAUUUGCGUAGUUUCACAAUAUCUCUCCAGAAAAUACUUACUAAUUACUUUUUAAUAAGUACAAAAUACUUACUAACUCUGAGGGAAAUUUUGGCAGGUGUCAUCUUAACCAAGUGAUAGAAAUUACCAACCCGAAUAAUGGGACAAGUCAACAUUGUGUGUCUCCUGAUAUAAACUUAGAAUAACAUAGUGUCAGUUCUGUGGCAUUCUUGCCAAAAAUACAUAAAUCUAUCCAAUCACAAGGAAACAUCAGAAUAAUCUAGAUUGAGGAACAUUCUAUAAAGUAACCACCAUUUAUGCUUCAGAAUCGUCAAGGUCAUGAAUGACUGAGGAGAUAUUACAAGUUGAAGGGGACUAAGGAGAUGUGACAGUGAAAUGCAAAACAUGAUUCUGGAUUGGAUCAUGAACAAUUUUGGAAGCCUUGGUGACAUUUGGAGUAGGUCUCUGCUUUGAAUUUUAAAAUCAUAUUAAUUUGUU